UCUUAGAGCAGUGGUCACAGGAAAGGAAAUCAUGAAAGAGACACCCCCAAAUGCAGACAAAUCAACAACCCCACUUCACACUGCAUUCUCUCUUUCUCUCUCUUUCCAUCUCUCUUUCUCCUUUUUAAGUUUUCCUGGGAGGUGGGCUGGAGAGAGUUUUGAGAGAACUAGUGAGGAGCUAGCAGCCAUGAAUGAAGCUUCUCAUCUUACCAGAGAUGCCUCUAUGUACUCUCUACUAUUACCACUGCUUUUUCCUUCUCGCUUUUCCUAGUGGCUUCUGCUUUAUAUCUGUCUUAGAUCAUACCGCCUACAUAUAUAUGUACACACAGACAUCAAUAUUGUUUUAUGUACGUUUAUGUGGAUAGAUCUGGAUCUGUAUGGAGCUGUGUUGAAAUACCUUGUUUCGUCAUGGGGAAGCUUUUGAGGAAUUCGGGGAAGGGCAGGAGACAGAAAGAUCAAGCUACAGAUUGGUGUUACCAGCAGAUGGAUAUGAAUGGAAAAAGUAUGGCCAGAAGUUCAUAAAAAACAUUGGCAAGUUCAGAAGCUAUUUCAAGUGCCAAAGGACAGGUUGUGGGGCAAAGAAGAAGGCAGAGUGGACUCCCACAGAGCCCAGUGACAUUAAAGUUAAAUAUGAUGGAAAGCACACCCAUGACUCUUGGGCAUACUCAGUCCAAUCAGAAGGGAAUUCCACUGCUAGCACAGCCACCAACCAGUAUAACUUGUUCACACAGGUGUUUGGAGAUCAAGACUCUUCCAUUAGGCAUCAUGAUACCAAUUGAAUCCUGCCCUUUUUUAAGUGCAGCCAUUGUUGAUAUAUUUUGUACAUGUACUUGACCCAGAAACAGACUAUUCCCUAAUUUCUGUGAAUCAAUUUGGUUGAUCAUUAGUGGCUUUUACUGCAAAGGACUUUGUUUUUGUUUUCUCAACUAUUAGAUGACGAUCAUAGACAUGCAAUUAAUUCCUCUUUCACUGUUUCUCAUUGUUGGGUUGGGGUAUACAUAAUAUAUGUUCCAGACUUACAUAUUACUAGCUUUAA